rnacentral:piRNA from 2 species
UACCAUUUGCUUAAACAGCCUAUGGAAUUC